AGGAGGUGUACUUGUACAUCAUUCUGUCAAGGAGUGGUACUUGUACAUCAAGCUGUCUGCUAUAGAUUAGCAUUCUGUCCAGGAGGUGUACUUGUACAUCAUGCUGUCUGCUAUAGACUAGCAUUCUGUCCAGGAGGUGUACUUGUACAUCAAGCUGUCUGCUAUAGACUAGCAUUCUGUCCAGGAGGUGUACUUGUACAUCAUUCUGUCAAGGAGUGGUACUUGUACAUCAAGCUGUCUGCUAUAGACUAGCAUUCUGUCCAGGGGGUGUACUUGUACAUCAAGCUGUCUGCUAUAGACUAGCAUUCUGUCCAGGAGGUGUACUUGUACAUCAAGCUGUCUGCUAUAGACUAGCAUUCUGUCCAGGAGGUGUACUUGUACAUCAUGCUGUCUGCUAUAGACUAGCAUUCUGUCCAGGAGGUGUACUUGUACAUCAAGCUGUCUGCUAUAGACUAGCAUUCUGUCCAGGAGGUGUACUUGUACAUCAUUCUGUCAAGGAGUGGUACUUGUACAUCAAGCUGUCUGCUAUAGAUUAGCAUUCUGUCCAGGAGGUGUACUUGUACAUCAUGCUGUCUGCUAUAGACUAGCAUUCUGUCCAGGAGGUGUACUUGUACAUCAAGCUGUCUGCUAUAGAUUAGCAUUCUGUCGAGGAGUGGUACUUGUACAUCAAGCUGUCUGCUAUAGACUAGCAUUCUGUCCAGGGGGUGUACUUGUACAUCAAGCUGUCUGCUAUAGACUAGCAUUCUGUCCAGGAGUGGUACUUGUACAUCAAGCUGCCUCACUACAGAAGCAGGAGCUGGGCUCCUGCCCUCUGGGCCGUUCUGGCUGUUACAAGGCUUUAGUACUUUAGGCCGAGGCCCAUAGGGUCCUGUAUAGAUCAGUGGUUCCCAAACUGUUUCACUCAGGUCCCUCUUCCAGCAUUGGGGAACAUCCGUUUCUAUGGGCACAAGCACUGUUCAUGACACAAACUGUUCACACCCCUAAAAUGUUGCAGAUUUGAAAGCUUAUUUCCUUGCAUUUCUAUACAUUUUGCCAUGUCUAAUGUGUUUUCUUGUGAUAUUUGAGUGACAAAAAAAAUGAAUGUCUAUAGGCUAAAAAAAACAAACGUUAGCUUGACGUGGGCUGGACAUUUCUGACAAGUUAUAUCUCUCUAAGAAAUGUAAUGACUGACAUGACAAAGAGGAACUGAUGAUGCAAUAACCUGUUUCCACACGUCACCUUGUGUGUUCUACUAUUACAACUUUCAAGAGUCAGUUGAAAGCUGGACUGAGUUCCCCCUAGGGGGGCGCGCCCCACAGUUUGGGAACCGCUGAUAUAUGGAAUAGGAUCAGUACUGUGUCCAUCCUCACUGGUUCAUCAGUACUGUGUCCAUCCUCACCUGUCCAACCUACUUUAGCCCCCGUCUUGUCUCAGGUGCCUGUUUGAGACAGACUUGGGUGUCUGUGCACUAGACCGGAAAUAGGGUGCCAUUUGGGAUAUUUGCAUAUAUAUAUAUAUAUAUAUAUAUAUAUAUAUAUAUAUAUAUAUAUAUAUAUAUAUAUAUAUAUAUAUAUUAAACGUUUUUGCUACAGUGUGCACUAAUGAAUACAACCCUGAUGACGGACAGACUCUGCUGUAUUGUUAUUGGUUGGUUGUAAUGAUGAUGCAUUCUGAAUUUCAACAUUUGAUUGUUAUGUUUAUUACUAUGGGGAACAUUUUGAGGCUAAACUUGAGGGACGGUAUGCUGGUCUGAAGUCCAGCUCUUGGAAACAGUGUUGUUGGACUAGAAGGUGUCUUGGCUCAGGGUAGAAACAUCCCUUUGCCCCCCCCACCCCCCAUCCAUCCUAAACUAAAUGUGUAUUGCUGUCAGACCUCUGUUUAAAUACUAUUUGGAGUCUUUAAUGUUUGCUCUAGCCUGCCUGGAGUGCUAGAUGGGAGGGGAGUUGCAGUUUUGGGACUAGUCUUUAGGUCCAUUUAAGCCAGGCAAGCUCAAUCAAGCACAGAUCAAGUAUUUGAACUCAGAUCUGGUUAGCACUCAAGUCAGUCCGGAUCCAAUGGUGCUACUAGACAGAUGAUUCAGGCCCUCAGCGAGCACAGAUCGAGUAUUUGAACUCAGGUCUGGUUAGCACUCAAGUCAGUCACAGGAUCCAAUGGUGCUACUAGACAGAUGAUUCAGGCCCUCAGCGAGCACAGAUCACAGUCAUCUGUAACCUUUUUGAGGUUGUCAGGUCAUUAGGUCAAGGUUCAGUUACACUGUAUGACCACAUUCAUCAUCAAGCUGAAACCGUGCAGCACCCGCAUCCACUCACUGCUUUUGGGCAGUGUCCCGAAUGGCUCCCUAUAUAGUAUACUACUUUUGACCAGGGUCCAUAGGGUAGUGCACUACUUAUAGGGAAUAAGGUGCCAUUUUGGACGUACUCUUACUAUGUUGGAGUAAUUUGGGACACGGUCAGUGUUGACGUCUUCAGAAAGGUGACAUGUUGACCUGCUGGACAUCAACUGUAGUAAGUAUUACAAUGGGGAGUUAAAUGUUGUUGAGUUUCCUGACCAAAGAGUUGGAUCUGCUGCAGAUUUUCUACUGUUUUCCUCACCUGUGAAACUGUCCCAAUUAGCAUCUUAUUUCCUAUAUAUAUAUAGUGUACCAUAGGGCCCUGGUCAAAAGUAGCAUGGACCACAGGAGGUUGGUGGCACCUUUAAUUGGGGAGGACGGGCCCUGGUCAAAAGUAGCAUGGACCACAGGAGGUUGGUGGCACCUUUAAUUGGGGAGGAUGGGCCCUGGUCAAAAGUAGCAUGGACCACAGGAGGUUGGUGGCACCUUUAAUUGGGGAGGACGGGCCCUGGUCAAAAGUAGCAUGGACCACAGGAGGUUGGUGGCACCUUUAAUUGGGGAGGAUGGGCCCUGGUCAAAAGUAGCAUGGACCACAGGAGGUUGGUGGCACCUUUAAUUGGGGAGGACGGGCCCUGGUCAAAAGUAGCAUGGACCACAGGAGGUUGGUGGCAGCUUUAAUUGGGGAGGACGGGGCCCUGGUCAAAAGUAGCAUGGACCACAGGAGGUUGGUGGCAGCUUUAAUUGGGGAGGACGGGCCCUGGUCAAAAGUAGCAUGGACCACAGGAGGUUGGUGGCAGCUUUAUUUGGGGAGGACGGGCCCUGGUCAAAAGUAGCAUGGACCACAGGAGGUUGGUGGCAGCUUUAUUUGGGGAGGACGGGCCCUGGUCAAAAGUAGCAUGGACCACAGGAGGUUGGUGGCACCUUUUUGGGGAGGACGGGCUCGUGGUAAUGGCUGGAGCGGAAUGGUAUCUAACGUGAUUUCCACGUGUUUGAUGCCAUUAUGAGCCGUCCUCCCCUCAGCAGCCUCCACUGGUAUGGGCCCUGGUCAACAGGAGUGCACUAUAUAGGAAAUAGGGUGUCAUUUCAGAUAUAGGAAACAGGGUGUCUUUGCUUCUCCAGUGAUGGGGGUGGAUCUUUUCAGGUGUGAACUUGAAUUGCAAUCAAUCAGAACCCAAACAAAGGAAUCUGUUCCUACAUUCUGUAGCUGUGUGCAGUAUGUUGACGAGGGUCAUGCUCAUUUGGCACAAAACGUUAGAAAGCACUCAAAACGAGGGAGUUGGAGGUACUCUCUGUACCAAUCCAAUAAAACACUUAUCUUCUGUUGCAAAACGUUUUUGCUACAGUGCGCCUCAGUGAACAUGACCCAGGUUUGUGUAUAUAACACGUCACUUCAGGAAAAAAGAGCAACAUUUUGCUCUAGCGAACCCAGAAUGGAAAAUGCAAAAGAAAAACAGGACUUUUGUUCACCAACAUCCUAAAACCAGCUGGACGUUGGAAUUUAGUAAUCAAGGAGUCAUAGAAAAUGUUUUUUAUUUAAAAGAAUAAAGAUGUUUUUUACUAUUACCA